rnacentral:misc_RNA from 1 species
AUUCCUGUCGUAGUUACUGCUGCUUUUAGCCAUCAUUCAUGGCCUAAGGGAAGUUGUUGGAGAUUGAUGGAGGUGCCAAAAGCCUCAUCAUCCAAUGGGUCAUGCCAAGAAAGGGAAGAACGGUGUGACAAUUAGGGUGUCGUGACUCAAUUUUUAGGCCAGAUCGACAUUAAGACUUAGGUCAGCUUAAGGUCUUCGAAGUCUAUAGUAAGCCUUAACUAUUUUUAAUCUAUUCAUAAAGCCCGUUUAGGUAGCCCAAUUUCAAAAAAAUAAACUGACAGAGUCCAGUCAUAAACUAGACUAUUCAACAGGGAGUAUUAACUCACCUAACCUGUAAACAAAAUAUAAUCAAUAAUAUGGAAAGCUCAACUCACCCUCACCAUCCUUCAGAACAAAUAAAUCAACAUUUAGGAGCUUAGCUGCCUCCAUCAAUAAUAAUAAACAUUAUAUACA